UACGAAGGGGGCUAGCGUUGCUCGGAAUCACUGGGCGUAAAGGGUGCGUAGGCGGGCCUUUAAGUCAGGGGUGAAAUCCUGGAGCUCAACUCCAGAACUGCCUUUGAUACUGGCGAGCUUGGGUCCGGGAGAGGUGAGUGGAACUGCGAGUGUAGAGGUGAAAUUCGUAGAUAUUCGCAAGAACACCAGUGGCGAAGGCGGCUCACUGGCCCGGUACUGACGCUGAGGUGCGAAAGCGUGGGGAGCAAACAGG
rnacentral:rRNA from 1 species